rnacentral:lncRNA from 1 species
GAAUACUCAUGUUUCCGGAUCUGCAACGUUGACGAUGUCAAAGUCAUUGUCAUUGAUCGGAUUUGCAUUUGCUCAAAGCUAAUCUUUCAAUCUGAAUCAAUAAACAUCGCACUAAGACGGGAAAUAAAAAACACACUGCACAAAGACGGGAAAUCAAAACAAACAGAGUCGUUCAGAGACGACGAAAUCACAAAAACAAACGAAAGAAAGCAGAAAAAUGUGAAAUCACUUAUUGAAUUAAGAUAGAAAAAAUAAUAAUUCGGAUGGGUGAUUUUUGGGUCAAAAUUGACCUUAAAUAUCGAAAAAUCACCCCUCUAAAAAGAAGAAGAAGAAGAAAAGGGUGACGGCUAGGGUUUUAGAAGGAGAGAAGAGAGAAGGAAAUAUGUUGUUAAAAUAUAAAAAGUGAUGAAGCACCAGAACAAUUAUUUAAUUGAAUUCGAUUAGUGAUUUUUCUUCCAGAUCUAUUGAUCAAUUAUUUUAAAAUAAACAUGAUUGUUCGAAAAUCAUAAUUUAUGUUUUUAUUUUAAAAUAAACAUGAUUGUAAAAUAAAGGUUAAAUUACCUUUUAGGUACUCUAACUAUUUAAUUGGUAUCGGAUUGAUCCUCUAACUAAAAAUUGAUUUAUUUCGGUCCUCUAAGUUUCUCACUGUUACUGCAUUUAGUCAUUUCUGUUAGUUUUAUUCAAAUGAAUGUUAGGGUUUGUGUUAUGUGGAAUAAGUUAAAUGAAAAAACAAUAGUAUUGUAAUGAGAGAUACAGAAAACCUGUUUUCAUAAUAUUAGGAGAGUAUUCGGAGCAAUAUUGAUAGGAUUGAUAGUAUUGGUUUGAUGAGUUGUCUUUGUGUAGACAGUAUCCAUACUCAAUUUUGGGAGGGCAGUUUUAUCCAGGAAUGACGAGACAAAAAAGAAUUAGUGUACCAUUAAGGCAGAGCCGCGAAACAUCUUAAAAAGAGUGACUUCAUGCGCGACUCGGCCCAAAUUUUUUGCUAUGAUAAAAAAAAUUAUGUUAGACUUUGUUUGCUAGUUUGGAGUGGAGGCGAAGGGAAAGCUUUGAGAGGUGAAAAAUGUAACACCCCGUUACCCAAAAGUAAUUAAAUAAUAAUUAAUUCAACAUCAGAGUUCAACCCAAACGGGCAUGCUACACUACAUUCAAAAUUUCUUAAAUAGCAUAUGAAACUAUUUAAUUAAACAAUUUUCAAACAUCGUUAAACUUGCAGCGGAUUAUUAUCAACCAUCAACAACUGUUUAAAACCUCCAAAUAAUAUCUUGGCAUUAAGCCUAAACAACAACAUAAUCAACCAACAAAGGGCCACAUCAUCAAGUUUCAAAAAUUGAUACAUAGGAAGGAAAACAAUUCAUAAUAAUAAAUCUCAUCCCACGUAUCAGAGCCCUAGACACGACUCUUGAGCCACCACCGACUACUCAGGAUCACCUGCAAGUUACCCAUAGGAAGGACAACAUUUUCAAGCAGAAGGGGUGAGAUUCACAACAAUAAAAUAUAGAUAUUAAAAUCUUCAAUUGAAUCUAACACCCUAUAACAUCAAUAUAUCUUCUUGUAAAUAUAAGCAUAUAAUUCACAAGCAACAACAACAUCAUCAAAAUCCACUGAUCACAAUAUGUAUAUAAAUGUAUAUAUUCAUCAACACAUCAUCAUCAUCAAUGUGGCAACUACAACCAACAACUAAGACUCAUGCAUGACAUGACAACACCACUAAGACUCCUCAAAAUAUGCAAUUAUGCAUGUGGUACCAAACAGGACCGAAGCCCUCACCGCUUUUGAAUGGUUAAAGCAUUCAUCAGGACCGAAGCCCUCGCCGCUGUGAACAACUAGUGCUCCAGGACAUGAGUCAUCUCCGCUGUUUAUGCAUAUGCAAUGGACCUACUUGUGUAUAUCUACAUACAACUUGACCAUGCAUACAUACUCCAUAUGACUCCACUUUUACAACAUGUAUGGUUAAUAAAUAAAGCAUACAUUUCCAACCAUCACAACAUCAACAACCAGCAAUCCAGAAUAAUGCACAACUACAUAAAACUAUGCUCAACACAACAACAUUAAUCACUACCAUUCACAUAAGUAAAAUCAGCACACAAAAACAGGGUAGCUCGCCUCGCGAGCACAUCUGCUCGCGAUGGCGAGUUCACAAAACUGGUUGCUCGCCAUGGCGAGUUCAAGGCGAACUCGAGGCGAGUGAAAAAUAGGUGUUCUCGGGAAUUUUGACAUUUUCUCACUCAAACCUCAAUUUUAAGCUCCCUAUUCAUCUUUUUAACCUAAAACUUGCUCCAGUCAUCAUUAAAAUCAUUUAGGUACAUUAAACCAUCCCCAAAACAUCUUAUAACAACAAUUGAAAAAUCAAGUUUUGAACUGGCUUGCUCGCCAUGGCGAGUUGGUCUGCUCGCGACGCGAGCCAUGAAGUUGCUCACUCGCGAGGCGAGCACAAGCUGUUCAGGAGGCGAGCGAUGAACUUCUGUACGGGCAGAAAACUGGUUUUUCCCCAAAAUCCCAUUUUUCUUCAAUUCACUCCCCAAAUUGGUUUACAGAUGUGAGUUAACUUACUGUAUGCACUCAGAACCUAUUUCUAACAUCAAAAUCAUCAUUCCAACUCCAAAAUCAUCUUUUCCUCAUAAAACCCCAAAAUCCCCAAUUCUCACCAAAACUCUGUUAAACACAAAAUCAGAAAUUAAUAGCUAUACUACUGAAGUAAACAUUACCCUUACCUUAAAUUUGCAGAAGAAAAUGCACAACAAUAAAGAUUCUUGAGUUCUACUUGCUCUUCUCUCCUUUCUCCCAAAACUGUCAGUUCUUACGUACAAUGCUUUUUAACUUCUAUUUUCCUAACUUCCCACUUACUUAACUCUUUUUAAUUCUCAUUUUACUCCCCCUUAAUUCUAUUAAAUUCUAUUAACUCCCCAAACACCAAAAUAAUUAAUAUUUCACCCUUAUUCUAAUUAUUAUUAAAAUAAACCAUAUAAUAAAAUAAACACACCACAUAAAUCACCAAAAAUCAUAUAUAUAUAUAUAUAUAUAUAUAUAUAUAUAUAUAUAUAUAUAUAUAUACUCCACAUAAAUCAAAAAUAAAUAACACAACGAUUAGAGUGUUACAACUCUCCCCAAAUUAUAGAAUUUCGUCGUCGAAAUCUUACCUCAAUCAAACAACUCCGGAUACGACUCCCGCAUCUUACUCUCCAGCUCCCAAGUCAAACUUUCACCAGUCGCUCCACCCCAAACGACUCUCACAAGAGGUAUCUCAUUACCUCUCAAAGACUUCACCUUUCUAUCAUCAAUCCUCAAUGGCAUAGUCUCAACUGUCAGGUUGUCUCUAACCUGCACGUCAUCCCUUGGAAUCACAUGUGAAGGAUCCGCUACAUACUUCCGAAGCUGCGACACAUGAAACACAUCAUGCAAGUUCGAAAGAUGUGUUGGAAACCCAUCCUAUAUGCCACUGUUCCAACCCUCUCUGAAAUCUGAUACGAACCAAUAAACUUAGGAGUCAACUUCCUCGACUUCAAUGCACGUCCAACACCCGUCAAAGGAGUGACCCUCAGAAAAACAUGAUCACCCUCCUGAAACUCAAGAGCCUUUCUUCGCUUGUCAUGGUAACUCUUCUGUCGACUCUGCGAAGCUUUCAUCUUUUCCCUUAUCAACCUGACUUUCUCAGUAGUCUCAUGAACCAAAUUCGGUCCCAACACAACACUCUCACCUGACUCAAACCAGCAUAAAGGAGUCCUACACCUCCGGCCAUACAAAGCUUCGAACGGUGCCAUACCAAUACUUGAAUGAUAGCUAUUGUUAUAUGUGAACUCAAUCAAUGGUAGGUGACUAUCCCAAGCUCCACCUUGCUCAAGUACACACACCCUCAACAAAUCUUCCAAUGAUUGGAUCGUCCUCUCCGACUGACCAUCUGUCUGAGGAUGAUAAGUCGAACUCAACCUCAACUUCGAACCCAAAGCAUCCUGUAAACUCUUCCAGAACCUAGAAGUGAACCUCGGAUCUUUAUCCGACACAAUACUUGACGGUACACCGUGCAACUUCACAAUACUAUGAACAUAAAUCUCUGCCAACUGUGCUACCGGAUAACUGAUAUUGAUAGGAAUGAAGUGUGCCGACUUCGUCAACCGGUCGACAACAACCCAAAUAGCGUCAUGCCCUCUCGGAGUGUUCGGUAGACUCGUCACGAAAUCCAUAGAGAUACUGUCCCACUUCCACUCCGGUACAUCCAACGGUGUCAUCAACCCUGUAGGCUUCUGAUGCUCAACCUUGGACUUCUGACAAAUCAAGCAAGCAUAAACAAACUGAGCAACAUCUCUUUUCAAACCGGACCACCAAAACAGUUUCUUCAGAUCAUGGUACAUCUUUGUAGCCCCCGGGUGAAUACUCAACCUACUCUUGUGACUCUCUUCAAGAAUCAACUUCUUCAAAUCAUCGUUGUCAGAAAUACAAACUCUUUCUCUGAACCUCAGGAAACCCUGAUCAUCAACCUUAAAAUCACUAUCCUCAGCGUCACUACCAGUAGUCAUCAAAUCAACAAAUUUCAAAUCUGCUUUCUGAGCUUCUCGGAUACUGUUCAAGAAAUUACUAACAAUCUUCAGCAUCCCCAACUGUAUACUCUGAGGUGACAAUUCACAGACCAGACUCAAGUCUCUAAACUGUUCCAACAAUUCAAAUUCUUUUACCAUUAAAGCAGACAUAUGCAAUGUUUUCCUGCUCAAUGCAUCAGCAACCACAUUGGCCUUACCAGGAUGGUAAUUCAAGCCAAAAUCGUAAUCCUUCAGUAACUCUAACCAUCUCCUCUGCCUCAUGUUCAACUGACGGUAAUCAAUGCACAGUCUCAUACUACCAUCCUUCUUCUUAACCAACAACACCGGUGCUCCCCAAGGUGAAACACUGGGUCUUACAAACUUCUUAUCCAACAAGUCCUUCAACUGUUUCUUCAAUUCAGCUAACUCAGAAGCUGACAUACGGUAUGGUGCCAUCGACACCGGCUUUGUUCCUGGAACAAGGUCAAUUGAAAAUUCAACCUCCCUCUCUGGUGGCACAUCAGGAAUCUCAUCAGGAAACACUUUUGGGAACUCAUUCACUACAGGUAACCUGCCAAUCACAGCUUGAUUUUCUACGGAUAAAUAAGCCAUCAGAGAAUACAUCAGAAUCCCGUCCCGUUCAAACUGUUUCAUCUGUUUUGUAGACAAAAGCUCAACCUCACCUUCUUCUUCAGCAGAAGAAAAAUGCACCGUCUUACUAAAGCAGUUGAUAUGAACUCGGUUAUACUCUAACCAGUUCAUUCCAAAAAUAACAUCCAUACCCGACAACGGCAAGCAAACUAGAUCAACCACAAAAUCUCUACCAAACAUAGAUAUAGGAUACCCCAAACAAACAAGAGAAGUAGUUACUGAACCCUUAGCUGGAGUUUCAACAACCAUUUCUCCUUUCAUAUCAGAUACAAUCAAACCCAACUUAUAUGCACUUUCUAAAGCAAUGAAACAAUGAGUAGCACCAGUAUCUAUAAUAGCAAUUAAAGGAGUACUAUUAAAGAAACAAGUACCUCUGAUAAGUCGGUCCUCAUUGGUAGUCUGCGUACCAGUCAAAGCAAACACCUUUCCACCAGUUCUAACCUUCUUCGGCUCAGUACACUGCGAACUGAUAUGCCCCUCUUCAUUGCAGUUGUAGUAGACAAUAUCCCCACGCUUGCAUUCAGCUAAAUUGUGUCCCUUCUGACCACACCUGAAGCACUUCCUCUCAUCUCUACCACAAACAUUGCUCUUGUUGCCUUUUUCACCACACUUGUAACAAACAAUCUCAGAAGGAGCAUCUCUCCUCUUAGGCCUCCUAUCAUCAUUCAUCUUCUGCUUUCCUUUGUCAGCAGGAGCACUUUAAGGCUUAGGACGACUCUGCUGUCCCUUGCCCCUCCUCUCACUCAUUAUCUUGUAAUGAGCUUUGGUGUCUUCUUUGUAAAUCCUGCAACUGUUUACCAACUCAGAAAAGACUCUGAUCUGCUGAUACCCAAUAGCUCUCUUAAUAUCAGCUCUCAACCCAUUCUCAAAUUUGAUACACCUGGCGAACUCAGCUGUCUCCACACUGUAAUGAGGGUAGAACUUAGCAAGUUCCACAAACUUUGCAGCAUACUCCGUGACGGACAUGUCACCCUGUUUCAACUCCAGAAACUCAAUUUCUUUCUUACCUCUGACAUCCUCCGGAAAAUACCUGCUCAGAAACUCUUUCCUGAACAUAGCCCAAGUUACCACAACAUCAUCCUGUUCCAGCAUAGGCAACAAACUCACCCACCAGUCGUCAGCCUCCUCCGCUAACACGUGCGUCCCAAACCGCACCUUCUGUGUCUCAGAACACUGCAUGACCCUGAAAAUCCUUUCAAUCUCCUUCAACCAUUUCUGAGCAUCGUCAGGAUCAUAUCUACCCUUGAACGUUGGUGGAUGAUUUCUCAAGAAAGUUACCAACCUUCUGGAUCCAUCACUACCAGUCUCCGCCUUAGGUUGCUGUUGAACAGCUUGAGCUACAGACUCAAGCGCAGCAACAAGAGCAGAAUCACUACUUCCAGUCAUCUUGAAGUUCUACACGAGAAACAACAACUCAGAACAACAACAAAAAGCAACAUUAAAGUUGACACUCUAUCCUAGGUGGCUCAACACGACUCUACUACUUGGCCGGACGGACCAACCUGCUCUGAUACCAAUUGUAACACCCCGUUACCCAAAAGUAAUUAAAUAAUAAUUAAUUCAACAUCAGAGUUCAACCCAAACGGGCAUGCUACACUACAUUCAAAAUUUCUUAAAUAGCAUAUGAAACUAUUUAAUUAAACAAUUUUCAAACAUCGUUAAACUUGCAGCGGAUUAUUAUCAACCAUCAACAACUGUUUAAAACCUCCAAAUAAUAUCUUGGCAUUAAGCCUAAACAACAACAUAAUCAACCAACAAAGGGCCACAUCAUCAAGUUUCAAAAAUUGAUACAUAGGAAGGAAAACAAUUCAUAAUAAUAAAUCCCAUCCCACGUAUCAGAGCCCUAGACACGACUCUUGAGCCACCACCGACUACUCAGGAUCACCUGCAAGUUACCCAUAUAAAGGGCAACAUUUUCAAGCAGAAGGGGUGAGAUUCACAACAAUAAAAUAUAGAUAUUAAAAUCUUCAAUUGAAUCUAACACCCUAUAACAUCAAUAUAUCAUCUUGUAAAUAUAAGCAUAUAAUUCACAAGCAACAACAACAUCAUCAAAAUCCACUCAUCACAAUAUGUAUAUAAAUGUAUAUAUUCAUCAACACAUCAUCAUCAUCAAUGUGGCAACUACAACCAACAACUAAGAUUCAUGCAUGACAUGACAACACCACUAAGACUCCUCAAAAUAUGCAAUUAUGCAUGUGGUACCAAACAGGACCGAAGCCCUCACCGCUUUUGAAUGGUUAAAACAUUCAUCAGGACCGAAGCCCUCACCGCUGUGAACAACUAGUGCUCCAGGACAUGAGUCCUCUCCGCUGUUUAUGCAUAUGCAAUGGACCUACUUGUGUAUAUCUACAUACAACUUGACCAUGCAUACAUACUCCAUAUGACUCCACUUUUACAACAUGUAUGGUUAAUAAAUAAAGCAUACAUUUCCAACCAUCACAACAUCAACAACCAGCAAUCCAGCAAUCCAGAAUAUUGCACAAUUACAUAAAACUAUGCUCAACACGAAAACAUUAAUCACUACCAUUCACGUAAGUAAAAUCAGCACACAAGAACAGGGUAGCUCGCCUCGCGAGCACAACUGCUCGCUAUGGCGAGUUCACAUAACUGGUUGCUCGCCAUGGCGAGUUCAAGGCGAACUCGAGGCGAGUGAAAAAUAGAUGCUCUCGGGAAUUUUGACAUUUUCUCACUCAAACCUCAAUUCUAAGCUCCCUAUUCAUCUUUUUAACCUAAAACUUGCUCCAGUCAUCAUCAAAAUCAUUUAGGUACAUUAAACCAUCCCCAAAACAUCUUAUAACAACAAUUGAAAAAUCAAGUUUUGAACUGGCUUGCUCGCCAUGGCGAGUUGGUCUGCUCGCGAGGCGAGCCAUGAAGUUGCUCACUCGCGAGGCGAGCACAAGCUGUUCACGAGGCGAGCGAUGAACUUCUGUACGAGCAGAAAAUUGGUUUUUCCCCAAAAUCCCAUUUUUCUUCAAUUCACUCCCCAAAUUGGUUUACAGAUGUGAGUUAACUUACUGUAUGCACUCAGAACCUAUUUCUAACAUCAAAAUCAUCAUUGCAACUCCAAAAUCAUCUUUUCCUCAUAAAACCCCAAAAUCCCCAAUUCUCACCAAAACUCUGUUAAACACAAAAUCAUAAAUUAAUAGCUAUACUACUGAAGUAAAUCUCACCCUUACCUUAAAUUUGCAGAAGAAAAUGCACAACAAUAAAGAUUCUUGAGUUCUACUUGCUCUUCUCUCCUUUCUCCCAAAACUGUCAGUUCUUACGUACAAUGCUUUCUAACUUCUAUUUUCCUAACUUCCCACUUACUUAACUCUUUUUAAUUCUCAUUUUACUCCCCCUUAAUUCUAUUUAAUUCUAUUAACUCCCCAAACACCAAAAUAAUUAAUAUUUCACCCUUAUUCUAAUUAUUAUUAAAAUAAACCAUAUAAUAAAAUAAACACACCACAUAAAUCACCAAAAAUCAUAUAUAUAUACACUCCAUAUAAAUCAAAAAUAAAUAACACAACGAUUAGAGUGUUACAGAAAAUACGAGGGAAAAUGAGAAAAUCUUUCAAUUUUUUUAAAAGAGUAGUUUUUUAGAAAAUGAUAAAUUAACACAUAUGAUUACUAUAAUAAUAUAACAACAUAUGUUAAAUUUGAAUAAUUCAUAUAAACCCUCAACUCCCCCCUCUCAAUAAAAAAAAAAAAAACAUAUCCAAUGCAAUUUUUUAGUUCUCCAAAGUUAUGAGGGUUUAGUAUUAUGAAGAAGUUAAAUCCCAAAGUCUUCCCCUCCCAUUUUCCUCUAUUUCUUUCACUUGUUCAAUUCUUUUUUCUUAAAAUUUAUCCUUCAAUCCCCUCCAAAAUCGCAAACAAAGCCGUAAGACAUGACUCAAAAUCAUUACCAGUUGACAAGUGAACGAGCCUCCACUACCGUUGCUCCAUCUUUAUCUAAAAAAAGAGUCAGAUAUGUAUGAAGUUUCUGCCCUUGAUCACUUAGCUUCUAAGGUGGACGCGUUGUUGAAACAAAAUUGGUUUGUACAAUUCCUCUAAGAUUUUGAUGAUAAUAAAGUAUUAAAGAACAAUUGGAUAUGCUAAUAUAUGUUAGUAUGCAUGACCAUAUAUUAAAUUUUAACAAGGUCUUAACAUGUAUAAGAGCAUCGAAUGCACAAUAGAAGCUCAAAGACUAUGGUAGAAGAUCUAAAGAAAGUUUAACCAGAAGUCAACACCUUGUUUGAUUGAUUGCACAUUAAGCCAUUCUGCAAUGUAAAUAUUUAUCAUGGUUUUAUCUCUUUGACUUUUUAUGGUAAGGUUUUUAAUGAAGACAAUUGUUAUAUGUUUGUUAUGAUUGUACUCUUGAUUUUCAGCCUAAUCCUCUCAAGUUCUCUUAAUUUUAUUUUAUUUUAACAAAUUUAUUGGGGUUCUGUAAAUGGCAAGCAGGGUUCUUGGAAUGCCGACACAAUUGAAAUGUCAUAUUUUUUCCUGGAUACAUUUGCACUUUAAUUAUUUCUUAAAAAAUUAUUCCAUUUAUUUUGAUUUUUUGUGUGAUAUCUUCUUAAGAAAAUGAAUGUAAGAAUACUUGCAUAUCACAAUAAUACACCUUAAGGUUGUAAUAAAAUUGAAAGACUUGAGGAAUAUUAUUAUAAUUGUGCAAACAUUAUAACAUACAUAUAAUUUCUUACGUUUAGAGGUAGCAUAAUUAUUCUCUGGACAUCUCUAGAUAAUAAUCAUCGUCAGACAUUUCCCCUAAAUCGUACUCACAUAUUUUAUUAUUACACUUAAAUGAGUAAUGUGACAUCUCUGGACACUCAUCGUCAGACAAGCAAGGAAUACCAUCUGCAUUGUCAAUAUUUUUUUAAUAAAUGUUGUUAAAAUAUUGUGUAUAAGAUAAAUUAGAAGAUUCAAAAAUGGUUUGAAAAAUUACAUACCUCUAACAAAUAGAGAACUAAAGAUGAUCAAAGCAUAAAUCAAAGCAUAAACAAACAUGAUAAUAUGAGCCAUAUUUUUCCUCCUUUGUAUGUAUUAAACAUAUUUUUUUUGAUUGCUUUAUAAGUAAAUAUUUUAUGCUUUGGUAACUUCAAUUAAACAAUUUUUAACACUUAGGAAUUGAAAGAAGCCAUUUAUUA